rnacentral:rRNA from 1 species
GACGAACGCUGGCGGCGUGCUUAACACAUGCAAGUCGAACGGAAAGGCCCUGCUUUUGUGGGGUGCUCGAGUGGCGAACGGGUGAGUAACACGUGAGUAACCUGCCCUUGACUUUGGGAUAACUUCAGGAAACUGGGGCUAAUACCGGAUAGGAGCUCCUGCUGCAUGGUGGGGGUUGGAAAGUUUCGGCGGUUGGGGAUGGACUCGCGGCUUAUCAGCUUGUUGGUGGGGUAGUGGCUUACCAAGGCUUUGACGGGUAGCCGGCCUGAGAGGGUGACCGGCCACAUUGGGACUGAGAUACGGCCCAGACUCCUACGGGAGGCAGCAGUGGGGAAUAUUGCACAAUGGGCGGAAGCCUGAUGCAGCAACGCCGCGUGCGGGAUGACGGCCUUCGGGUUGUAAACCGCUUUCGCCUGUGACGAAGCGUGAGUGACGGUAAUGGGUAAAGAAGCACCGGCUAACUACGUGCCAGCAGCCGCGGUGAUACGUAGGGUGCGAGCGUUGUCCGGAUUUAUUGGGCGUAAAGGGCUCGUAGGUGGUUGAUCGCGUCGGAAGUGUAAUCUUGGGGCUUAACCCUGAGCGUGCUUUCGAUACGGGUUGACUUGAGGAAGGUAGGGGAGAAUGGAAUUCCUGGUGGAGCGGUGGAAUGCGCAGAUAUCAGGAGGAACACCAGUGGCGAAGGCGGUUCUCUGGGCCUUUCCUGACGCUGAGGAGCGAAAGCGUGGGGAGCGAACAGGCUUAGAUACCCUGGUAGUCCACGCUGUAAACGGUGGGUACUAGGUGUGGGGUCCAUUCCACGGGUUCCGUGCCGUAGCUAACGCUUUAAGUACCCCGCCUGGGGAGUACGGCCGCAAGGCUAAAACUCAAAGGAAUUGACGGGGCCCCGCACAAGAGGCGGAGCAUGCGGAUUAAUUCGAUGCAACGCGUAGAACCUUACCUGGGUUUGACAUGGAUCGGGAGUGCUCAGAGAUGGGUGUGCCUCUUUUGGGGUCGGUUCACAGGUGGUGCAUGGCUGUCGUCAGCUCGUGUCGUGAGAUGUUGGGUUAAGUCCCGCAACGAGCGCAACCCUUGUUCACUGUUGCCAGCACGUUAUGGUGGGGACUCAGUGGAGACCGCCGGGGUCAACUCGGAGGAAGGUGGGGAUGACGUCAAGUCAUCAUGCCCCUUAUGUCCAGGGCUUCACGCAUGCUACAAUGGCUGGUACAGAGAGUGGCGAGCCUGUGAGGGUGAGCGAAUCUCGGAAAGCCGGUCUCAGUUCGGAUUGGGGUCUGCAACUCGACCUCAUGAAGUCGGAGUCGCUAGUAAUCGCAGAUCAGCAACGCUGCGGUGAAUACGUUCCCGGGGCU